GAAAUGCGAUAAGUAAUGCGAAUUGCAGAAUUUCCGUGAGUCAUCGAAUCUUUGAACGCACAUUGCGCCCAUUGGCAUUCCGAUGGGCAUGCCUGUUCGAGCGUCAUUAUCCUCCCUCAAACCCUGGGUUUGGUGUUGGGCUCUGUUGUGCGGUGUGUGGCACAACUGGUCUAAAAGACAAUGACGGCGUCCGUGGGGACCCUCGGUGCAACGAGCUUUUCGAAGCACGCGUCGAGUGGCACAGUCUCUCCGGGCCGGUCUCCUUCUCAUUUUUUCUAGGUUGACCUCGGAUCAGGUAGGAAUACCCGCUGAACUUAA
rnacentral:misc_RNA from 1 species